AGGCAGGAUAUGCAGUCAGAAUUACGGGAUAAAUCCAGACGUGGCUUGCUCCUGGUGAAAGAGGUUCUUCCAUAUGGCACACAGCCCAUGAAGUUAUCUGUGCCUCUGACUACAGCCAACAGUGAGACAUUUGGAGCACAGGUGUCAUUAUGUACAUGCUCAAGCUUGGAAGAAAAGCUUUUGACCCAAUAAGAAGGGAAGAUCUCUGCUUUGAAAAAUUUGAUCUGGGAAACAAUUACCAAGGCUGAAACGAUGUUGCUCAUUCAGCUGUGGUGAGAAUGAGGUGGGAAUACGUCAGUGGAGAAAGACAUAUGGUAAGAAUUUGUCAUUAAAGGAAAAACAUACAGGACUGUCAUC